UACGUAGGGGGCAAGCGUUGUCCGGAAUUAUUGGGCGUAAAGAGUUCGUAGGCGGUUUCUUAAGUCUGGUGUUAAAGACGGGAGCUCAACUCCCGCAUGGCAUUGGAUACUGGGAAGCUAGAGUGUGGUAGAGGUCUCGGGAAUUCCAGGUGUAGCGGUGAAAUGCGUAGAUAUCUGGAGGAACACCGGUGGCGAAAGCGCGAGACUGGGCCAUAACUGACGCUGAGGAACGAAAGCGUGGGGAGCAAACAGG
rnacentral:rRNA from 1 species